ensembl:snRNA U6 U6 spliceosomal RNA
UUGCUACGGCUGCACAUAUACUAAAAUUGGAUCGAUACAGAGAAGAUUAGCAUGGCCCCUGCGAAAGGAUGACCCACAAAUGACCCGCUCCACAUUUUU